CACCACCAAGGCCCCGCGCUAGUGUGCACCCCCGGCCCGGGCCCGGCAGGUGGGCGAGGAGGGCGGGCGCAGUCGGGCUCUGCAGGAGCGCGCGGAGAUUCUGGCUACAUUGGAGAUUGGUUGCUUUCUAAAACUGAAGGAGAAGCCCAAGAAGAGAUGGUGGAUUCUCACUGAGUUUUGACUAGAGGAAGAAAAG
rnacentral:sRNA from 1 species